CCCUGAUUUGCAUAGUUUCAAAGACCUAGAGACAUGCCUGUUGGCUUGGUGACAUGUAAAGAGAGAAAUCACAUAGCCUUACUUUAGGUUAGGACUACACAUAGCCUUACUUUAGGUUAGGACUAAAAAAAAUCAAGUUCUAUGCUGCUAGGCUAGCCAGACCUAAAAGUAGGUUGCUACUUUAGUGGUUGAAGGUCCAUGGCACCCUCAACAGGAGUGAAUUUUAACUCAUUAAUGGGUAGUGAGCACAUGGAAAUUUUAAGCUCUGCCCUAGGUUCUCCCUCCAAAUUGCUGCCAUCAUCUUUUCUCCAGCUCCAAGAGUGUACCAGGAGUUCAUCACCGGAG